rnacentral:rRNA from 1 species
UACGAAGGGGGCUAGCGUUGCUCGGAAUCACUGGGCGUAAAGCGUGCGCAGGCGGUUAUUUAAGACAGGUGUGAAAUCCCCGGGCUUAACCUGGGAACUGCAUUUGUGACUGCAUAGCUAGAGUACGGUAGAGGGGGAUGGAAUUCCGCGUGUAGCAGUGAAAUGCGUAGAUAUGCGGAGGAACACCGAUGGCGAAGGCAAUCCCCUGGACCUGUACUGACGCUCAUGCACGAAAGCGUGGGGAGCAAACAGG